rnacentral:lncRNA from 12 species
AUGUCCCAUGCAGGCCUGUUCUGUGAAGAGCUCUUAUGGCAGCAUCUAGGCACCUCCAUUUCCAGGAUGGUGACCUCUCUGGAGUUUAUCCAGGCAUCUCCAGCUCACUUCCCUCCCAAGCUCCUCAAUAAUUUCCCUGUGCUGCUGGUGAGCAGACCAUGGCUGAGUGCCUGCGAUUCCCAUUCAUUGCCUAGAUUCCUUUUUUUUUUUUUUCCUCACAAGUUUGCUGUCAACUUGGAAUCCAAACCAGUGACAAGUGCACCAGUCAUUGGUGCUCAGCCCUUGAAGGUUGCUUGUAGGACGGUAACCGUGAGUGUGCUAGCACCUGGACCUCCCUUCUGUGGGCCAGCACUAACUACAGCAGUGAUGGUAGAGGUAAGACCCCUCAGCUCAGUGUCCUCAGCUUCUGCUUCAAGGCCUGAGCUUCAUCGGUUUGCCUCACAUUGUCUUCACCCUUGCAAUUUCCAGAGGCUAGCCUUGCUAUCACACGGGGCCUCUACUCAAAGCCAGGUACACCUGUCCCCCUUGGCUCCUUCUCUCCCCCAUGGUGGUCUUUCUGUGCUCCUUUCUUCUCAAGUUCACCAGAAUCCCAUCACCUUUCCCAAGGGAAACCUCACCUCUCCUACUUCACCAAGAAUAUUGAAGCUGAGAAAUACAAACUCUGCAGCAACCCAAUCCAAUUUCUUCAGAGGCAUUUCUUUCUGCCUCCGCCUCAUCAGCCUCAGGAAGCAAUGCACCUACUUGGUUAACCCUAUGGCAUGUGCCCUCCCAGGGCCUUCCGGGGCUUUUGAGGCACCCUAUCCUACACCUCAACCUCUCCACCUUGCAUUGCUCCCUGCAUCCUGUAAGUACACUAAACACCAUGCGAAACUUGAAACUAAUAAAAAAUUAACUUUCCAAAAACCUCCAUUCCACAGUGUCAGUAACACUCUCUCCUCUUUAUUAGUAACAUCAUUUAAAAUGCAGCCUAGAGGAAUGUGUCCAUCUCCUCUCCUCACAUUGGUUCCUAAGCCAUCCAGCCUCCACAUCCAACAGGUGAUGGCUAUUUCUAUGAAAAGAUCCCUGAGGAUUUUGCUCCUCAUCUUAUUUUACUUCUUAUGA